UACGGAGGGUGCAAGCGUUAAUCGGAAUUACUGGGCGUAAAGCGCGCGUAGGUGGCUUGAUAAGCCGGUUGUGAAAGCCCCGGGCUCAACCUGGGAACGGCAUCCGGAACUGUCAGGCUAGAGUGCAGGAGAGGAAGGUAGAAUUCCCGGUGUAGCGGUGAAAUGCGUAGAUAUAUGGAGGAACACCAGUGGCGAGGGCGGCCUUCUGGACUGACACUGACACUGAGGUGCGAAAGCGUGGGUAGCAAACAGG
rnacentral:misc_RNA from 1 species